UGGCGGCGUCCUUAUCAUGCAAUUCGAGCGAACUGAUUAGAAGCUUGCUUCUAUGACGUUAGCGGCGGACGGGUGAGUAACACGUGGGCAACCUGCCUGUAAGACUGGGAUAACUUCGGGAAACCGAAGCUAAUACCGGAUAGGAUCUUCUCCUUCAUGGGAGAUGAUUGAAAGAUGGUUUCGGCUAUCACUUACAGAUGGGCCCGCGGUGCAUUAGCUAGUUGGUGAGGUAACGGCUCACCAAGGCAACGAUGCAUAGCCGACCUGAGAGGGUGAUCGGCCACACUGGGACUGAGACACGGCCCAGACUCCUACGGGAGGCAGCAGUAGGGAAUCUUCCGCAAUGGACGAAAGUCUGACGGAGCAACGCCGCGUGAGUGAUGAAGGCUUUCGGGUCGUAAAACUCUGUUGUUAGGGAAGAACAAGUACAGAGUAACUGCUGUACCUUGACGGUACCUAACCAGAAAGCCACGGCUAACUACGUGCCAGCAGCCGCGGUAAUACGUAGGUGGCAAGCGUUAUCCGGAAUUAUUGGGCGUAAAGCGCGCGCAGGCGGUUUCUUAAGUCUGAUGUGAAAGCCCACGGCUCAACCGUGGAGGGUCAUUGGAAACUGGGGAACUUGAGUGCAGAAGAGAAAAGCGGAAUUCCACGUGUAGCGGUGAAAUGCGUAAGAUGUGGAAGAACACCAUGGCGAAGGCGGCUUUUUGGUCUGUAACUGACCUGAGGCGCGAAAGCGUGGGGAGCAACAGGAUUAAUCCCUGGUAUCCCCCCGUAACAUGAUGCUAAUGUUAAAGGGUUCCCCCUU
rnacentral:rRNA from 1 species